AAAUACUUGAGAAUUCAGUGUUGCCACAUUUAGACCACAUUGCGAAAGAUCGGGAUAUUUUUGUGCAGAUCCGAGGUGUCCAGCUUCUGGUCGAUGUUAUUGCAUCCUCUGAUUCACCGAAAGUUUGCGAUGUUUUGCAUACAAUCGAGAAGAUUGCCACUGUCCAGUAGACCUCUCAAGCGAUACGUCAAGCCGUCGUGUAAAGAACAUGUAAGAAGAUUAGUGGUUAUAAAUUACAUUGGAGUGAACGAAAGGUUCCAGUGACGUUAGAGAUCUCAGAUUAUCCUAAAGGAUUUGUUGUUGUCUGUGGUGGUUUUAGCACAAUGCAUCUUUUCACAUCAGAGAGGAAUUGCUGAAAAAGAUGAUGGAAUCUUCUUUCAAUAAUGUUGGUGUUACGAUAAAGCAGAAGAAAAGUUCCAUGAAAGUGGAGUCGUUUUUUAAAACAAAUUUGGAAAAUACAGUUGAAUGAUAUAUUAUUAAGACAGUAUUUCGUUUGUCCUGUGUAAAGAAUGUGGGAUAUGACAGUAAAUGACAAUUUUUUUGUUUCAGUGAUGACGAACAUAUCACAUCAAUGUCAGAAUUCAGCGUCUAUAAAGAAACUCCUCGGAGUAAAGUGAGUUAUGUUGUUA